rnacentral:rRNA from 1 species
UACGAAGGGGCUAGCGUUGCUCGGAAUCACUGGGCGUAAAGCGCACGUAGGCGGCUUUUAAGUCAGGGUGAAAUCCUGGAGCUCAACUCCAGAACUGCCUUUGAUACUGAGAAGCUUGAGUCCGGGAGAGGUGAGUGGAACUGCGAGUGUAGAGGUGAAAUUCGUAGAUAUUCGCAAGAACACCAGUGGCGAAGGCGGCUCACUGGCCCGGUACUGACGCUGACGGUGCGAAAGCGUGGGGAGCAAAGCAGGGAUUAAGA